UUAAAAUUUAAAUAAAUCUAGUUAUAAAAUGAAAUUUGAAAAUGAAGAGGAGUAGAAAAAUUAAUAUAGCCACUGCGGUGCUUUGUUUAGUGAAUACCUUAAAAGCAUGGAAAAAUAAGAGAACUCAUCAAAGGAAACGAAAGCUGUGGUGGAUUAGACCAGGUUAAAGGAAUACUUCCACCUCUGGAUUUUAUGCCACACUCCGUUCCAAGUUGAUUUCUCAGGACCCAAAGUGGUCGAAACAUUUUCUAAGAAUGAGUGUGGAAGACUUCGAUAUUUCACUCGAGCAUGUAACUAUAACAUAUACAAAAAAUAUACCUGUUUCCGUGAAGCAAUUUUAGUCGGCGAAAGACUUGCCGUAACAUUGAGAUAUUUAGCCACUGGCGAAAGCUUCUCUAGCCUGAUGACUGUUUUCCUAUUGGGGAAAACAACCAUCUACCAUAUAAUACAUGAAACUUGUGGUGCUAUUUUUAAAGCUCUAGAAGAUGAAUUUUCAAAAGUUCCGAGCACUUAUGAGGAAUGGACACAAGUAGCGGACCGAUUUUACUAGCGAUGUAAUUUCCCUAAUUGCUGGGGAGCAUUAGAUGGGAAACACAUAGCGCUUCAGGCGCCUGCAAACAACGUCGUUCUGAUGGAUAUGGUUGAUGCCGAAAACAAAUUUUUGUUUGUGGAAGUUGCAGCAUACGAUUGUGAAUCUAGUGGCGACUUUUUCACAACGAAAAAUUGUUACAAGACAAUAAAAUUUAAUUUCAUUAAUUACAAUAUAUUUUUAUUUUAAAACAUUCAGUUGCCCUCUUUCAACGACUUUGGCAGAAAACUCUUUAAAUAUUCCGCCUCGGAGGCCACUUCCACACGAAAGUGGCGAAAUGCGAUCUUUUCCCUUGAAAACAUUGUCACGAGCACGAAAUGUGGUGGAAAAUGUGUUCGGCAUAUGCGCAUCUUGUUUCCGAAUUCUCAAAAGACCAAUGGAUGUGACUCCCGAACAUGACAAUGACGCGAAUAGCAUUACUACUCCAGGUAAUUAGCGAAUAGAGUUAGGGGAAACUGGAACGCUCCCAUCAGUUCGAUCAAGCAGCGUUUUAGAAAGGUCAACAAACAACGCAAUAAAUGUCCGUGAACGCUUUAUGGAGUACUUUAUGACUUAUGACGAUACUGAACUCGUCUAAUGAGGAACAUGAAAAAAAAUAAUAAAAUAUUAAAUAUU